AGAAUCAACGCUGGCGGCGUGCCUAACACAUGCAAGUCGAACGAGAAAGUGGGAGCAAUCCCACGAGUAAAGUGGCGCACGGGUGAGUAACACGUGACUAACCUACCCUUGAGUGGGGGAUAACCGUAAGGGAAACCUGGGCUAAUACCGCAUAAUACCUUCGGGUCAAAGGAGCAAUUCGCUUAAAGGAGGGGGUCGCGGCCGAUUAGUUAGUUGGCGGGGUAAUGGCCCACCAAGACUGUGAUCGGUAU
rnacentral:rRNA from 1 species